UACGUAGGGUGCAGGCGUUAAUCGGAAUUACUGGGCGUAAAGCGUGCGUAGACGGUUUCGUAAGUCGGGUGUGAAAUCCCCGGGCUCAACCUGGGAAUUGCAUUCGAAACUGCGAGGCUAGGGUACGGAAGAGGGAAGCGGAAUUUCUGGUGUAGCGGUGAAAUGCGUAGAUAUCAGAAGGAACAUCAGUGGCGAAAGCGGCUUCCUGGUCCAGUACCGACGUUCAGGCACGAAAGCGUGGGGAGCAAACAGG
rnacentral:rRNA from 1 species